AUACACACGGCACGCAUGCGCCUUGCCUUCCUUUUGGUCCGCGAGUUCCCUUUUCUAACCCUUUUGUCUGCAGGCGGACUCCAUACCGCACACAGCGCUGCAACCGCAACCGCAGAGAAAGCCACGCCCCUCCACCUCACCCACGUCGGCCCAGGCUCCUCCCCGCCCGGCCGCACGUACACGUACACGUGCGCGCGCUGGGCUGAAGAGUCUCCCAGUGCAGGAGCGGCGCGGCGACUCCCAAACGUCAUGGCGGCCGAGCUGAGCGACAUGGCGGAGCCUCCCGCGGUCUCGCCGCCUUUUUUUUCUUUCUUCUCUUCCUCCGCGUCGCCCUCAGGCGGAGGCGCUGCCGAAGAGGCGGCCGAGAGCGAAGCCGCCUCCGUCUUUUCUUCCUCCUCCUCCUCCUCCUCCUUCACCUCCGCGGCGGGAGUUGAGGCCGAGCCGCUCCCAGCGGCGCUGAACGGCGAAGGGGCGGAAAGCAUGUCGGAGCCCAGCCCCGCCAGCCAGGCCGGAGACGGCGACGACGAAGAGGAGGAGGACGGCGACGACGAAGAGGAAGACGACGACGACGAGGAAGACGACGAGGAGGCCGAGGCCGGCAGCAGCUCCGGCUCUUCCAGCGGCUGCUGCACCGACGACGCCCGCUCGCUCAGCCCCGGCUGCAGCGAGGCCGACGUCAAGGGCGACUCGGGCGGGGCCGGCGUGGGCGCGGGCGGAGGGCCUAACGGCUCCAGCGGCUGCGGCGGCGACUCCAGUGAGGCGGCGGCCCCACAAGCGGCGGCGGCGGUGUCCGAGGUGGACGCGGGGACGGGCAGCAGCGGAGGCGCGGCGGCCGGGGCGGACGACGGCUACGCCACGGGGAGCAGCAGCAGCAGCAGCUCCUGCAGUGCCACGUCGGGCGGCCGCAGGGGCAGCCUGGAAAUCUCCUCCGACGGGGAGCCGCUCAGCCGCAUGGACUCCGAGGACAGCAUAAGCAGUACCAUAAUGGAUGUAGACAGCACAAUUUCCAGUGGACGUUCAACUCCAGUCAUGAUGAAUGGACAGGGAGUGACGACUUCAUCUGCAAAAAGUAUUGCUUAUAAUUGUUGCUGGGACCAGUGCCACUCUUGCUUCAACUCCAGUCCAGAUCUAGCAGAUCACAUUCGGUCCAUACACGUAGAUGGUCAGCGAGGAGGGGUAUUUGUUUGCUUAUGGAAAGGCUGCAAAGUUUAUAACACACCAUCAACAAGUCAGAGUUGGCUACAGCGGCAUAUGUUGACCCAUAGUGGGGACAAACCUUUUAAAUGCGUUGUGGGAGGAUGCAAUGCUAGUUUUGCUUCACAGAGUGGACUGGCUCGGCAUGUACCAACACACUUCAGCCAGCAGAAUUCUUCAAAAGUUACCAACCAGCCAAAGGCAAAAGAAGAGUCUCCUUCUAAAGCUGGAAUGAACAAAAGAAAGAAGUUAAAGAACAAACGGAGGCGCUCCUUACGGCUGGUGCCAGACUGUGCUGGGGAACUCUUAACCACUGACAAGAGAAUAGGAGUGGUCACACGUCAUGCAAGACCUCAUGACUUCUUUGAUACACAGACCUUGGACGCCAUACGGCAUCGAGCUAUUUGCUUUAACCUUUCUGCUCACAUAGAAAGCUUGGGAAAAGGCCACAGUGUUGUAUUUCACAGUACUGUAAGUAUUAUUAUCUACCAUACUUGAUAUAUUUAUAAUAUCUUCAAUAUUUUCAAACAGCCUUUCUAAACUGAAAUGUAUGUCGUUGUGCAUUGUUAUCGCGGAUUUAAUUUAGAUAAUGUUGCUUGAAAAGUCUUCUGCAAAGACUUCUGUGCUCUUCCAAAAACAUAUGCAGUUCAUGUUCCUCUCUUUUUAUCCUAUAGAUAACCUUUUUAUCCCAGGGUUGUCAAAUCUAGGGGCUGGAUCCGGCCUUCAGGGCUGUCCUGGAAACAGCAAAGGACCGGCCCGCGGUGCCUCUGCUAGUGAAAACUGAGCUCCAUUUUUCGUUGGCAGAGGGUUGCAGGAUGCCAUCAUAGCCGAACUCAGGAGCCUGUUUUCGCUGGCAAAGUGCUUGGGCCACCACAGGUGCCUCCGACAUGAGUGACAUCGAGCUGGCCACACCCACCCUGGUUCCCUGAGGUCAAACACAACCCAGAUGCAGCCCUCAAUUAUAUUGAGUUUGACAUCCCUGCUAUAGAACAUGGAAGAACAACAGCAGCCCUAUAAAGUUGCUUAAGGCUGUGAUUUCUCCAGGUUUAACUCAACAAUUUUCAUAUUUUCAUUGGUUAAAUUUAUUUCCUAUCCUUCAUCCAGGAACCUUCUGGUCUAUAUAGCCACCUUGCAUUCAGUUUCUCUCCGUUAUAAUUCUAAGGCAGAUUGUUCUGAGAGUGACCUGAAAGUAAUCCGUGGCUGUGAAAGGAUGAGAAUCUUGGGCUCCCAGAGGCUCAUCCAGCAUCUUAGUCACAGCCAUGGAUAAAUGGCCAUUUGAAUUCUGCUCUCAGAAAUACUAUCCUAGCACUUCAAAUAGCUCUCCCGGGCUAAAUAUGUUUAUUCUUUCCAACUUUGUGGAAAGUUGGAAAGAAAUUCUGCAAAGGAGCUCAGAACACUGUCCGUAAGUAUGAUGACUCCUCAUAAUACAGGGGUGUCAAACUCGCAGCCCGUGGGCUGGGUGAGUCACAUAUUGGCCACACCCACCCCCGAUUUAGUGAAGGGGGGAAAAAAGUCACAAUAUGUCAUGUGGACGAUGCAAGUUUGACACCCCUGUCAUAAUAGAACACAAGGUGACAAAUCUGGUAGGGCAGAGAAAUUGACAAAAGAAAGACCGAAGUCCGAAAUUGUCAUGAUCUGGCAUGGGGCUGCUGAUCCCCAUGAGAGAGGUAAGUAAUAGAGCAGGUAAUAGUUCAGAAAGCUGCUGGCUACUGUGUUCGAGACCCCUGUUCUAGGCCUUGCCUUCUCUCCAUCACAGGAACCAAGGAAUGCAACCCAGCCCCGUGUUUCCCUGUUCAUACAGGCACACAAACACUUACAGCAUAAAGGGAUGCAGACAAACUUGUUACUUCAUACCCAGUCUAAGUGCCAUCAAAUCAACGUUGACUCUUAUUGACUGUGUGUUGAUAUUCUCCAAGUGAUCUGUCCUUUUAGGUCUCUUAAUGCAGGAUUCGUAGUAAUUGGCACUUGAACCUAUCCACCUUGCUGGUGGUUAUCCUCCCCCUUUCCUUCCACUUUUCUUAGCAUUAUAAACUUCUCUAAACAGUGGGGCCUUUGUGUAAUGUGUCCAAAAUAUGAUAAUUUGAGCCUGGUCAUUUGUGUUGCAAGUGAGAUAGGUUUGUUGGUUUCAUAGCUAGCCAUGAUAUUCUCAAUAAUCUUUUCCAAUACAAUAUUUAAAAGUGUUAAUGUAAGUAGUAGUCCUUGAGAGUGGUGCGGUGGCUUAGAGGUGGAGCUCUCGCCUCCCAAUCAGGAGGCUGUGAGUUCAAUCCUAGGCAGAGGCAGGUAUUUCUCUCUCUGGGCACCCUGACAACAUAUCUGCUGAAAAAACUCUGCAUUGGCGACAGGAAGGUCAUCCGGCCAGUAAACACUCCGCUCCAUUCAGUUGCCCAGACUCCACCCCGCAAGGGAUUAUGGGGUCGUUAUUAUGCACAUAGUCCUUGACUCAAGACCAUAAUUGAACCCAGAAUUUGUGUUGCUAAGAGAGAAAUGUGUUAAGUGAGUUUUGCUCCAUUUUGUGACUUUCCUUGCCACAUUUCUUAAGUGAAUCACUGCUAUUCAGUGAAUCUGGCUUCCCCAUUGACUUUGCUUGUCAGAGAAGCUCACGAGAGAAUAUCCCAUGAACCUGGGAUGCGCCAACUGUCACAAAUAUGAACCGGUUGUCAAGCAUCUGGAUAUAAAUCAAUCACCAUGGGGAUGCUGCAACCGUCAUAAGUGUGAAACAUGGUCAUAAGUCACUUUUUUCAGUGCAUUUUUUGUAACUUAGAACGGUCACUAAAUGAACUGUCGUAAGUGGGGGACUACCCGUACUCCACCUUCUCCAGAGUCUGUCUUUUACUCCCAUAGAGUGUUAACAGAGGAAACGAUUGUUAAUGUGAUUCUACUCUUUGUAGAUGGAGCCAAAUGACAGCAUCCGAAUAUCUUUUCCAAGACCUUCCUUGCUAUCCUGUCAAGUAUUACUGUAUGGCACAUAAAUUACGUACCUCCUGAAUGUCUUCACUUUCAGUUCUGUUUGUUGGUCUUAGUUUGGAUCUCUUUAUCUUUAAUCCUAAUCUCUCUUUUUUUCACAUGCUCCUUGAUUUCAAUUAAUGGAGCUGUGGAUUUAUAAUUUUGUUCAGCUGAACCUUGCUAUUUAUUGUUGGAAUUUGCAGAUCAUUUGCAUUUUCAUCUGUCAGAGAAGUGUCUUCAGCAGAGAGCAGGUUAUUGAUGUUUCUUUUUCCAAUUUUAAAAUCCCAAUCACCUUCUCCCAGUCCAUCUUCCCUCAAAAUAUAACCAGCAUAAUAAAUAAAUACAUAAAUAAAUAAGGCAGUAUAGUUUUGUUUCACAUCCUUUUCAACCUGGAGUCAAUUUUAUCUUUCCAGGUUCCAUCCAGACUCUGGCUUUCAAUGAGGACAAUGAUGAUCUGGAUUGUCAUUCCCUAAAGACAAUCCACAGAUUAAUAUGGUCAACAUGGGCUUUCUGUAGUCAGUCAAAUACUUUCACUUCCUUUUAGUAUUCUGUGACAAUUAUCCAGUGUGUAUCAGCAAAGCCUUUUGUUCUUUAGCUUUUUCUAAAGCCAGCUUGAACAUCUGGCAUCUCUUUUUACAUUUAGGCCUAUAAUUUGUGUUAGAUGACACUGAACAUCAAUUUUGCUAACAUGUGAAAUUAAUGAUAUAGUGCAUUAGUUUGUACAAUCUGUUAAACCUCCUUUCCUUGAUACUGGCAUGAAGACUGACCUCUUCCAAUCUGUCAACUAGUCACUGGGUCAUUCCAGAUUUGCCGGUGUGAUUAGAACGAUUAUUAGAUAUAUUUUUUUCCUUUCUCUUCUAUUUUUGUAGAUCAGUGGUGUCAAACUCGCUGCCUGCAGGCUGGAUGCGCCACGCACUGGCCACGCCCACACCCGGUUUAGCGAAAGGGGGGGGAAUCGCAAUAUGUCACGUGACGUCGCUGUGAUGACAUGAGUUUGACACCCCUGCUUUAGAUGAUCCAUCAAUUCUUGUAGCUAUCCUACCUGACUGCUGAUCUGACUUCACCUUUGUAGUGCUGCUCAUGCUUCUAAGUAAGGAAUAUCUUGAAAGAUAUCUUAGAUAUUGAAAUCUCUAUUGUGCAGUACUUCAUUAUGCUCCUCUCAUUUCUAUUCAAUCUUUCUGACUUACUAUUUGUUCAUUGGCUCUUUUAGCAUAUUGAUUUAAGAUUGGAAUCUCCUAAAUUUUGUGAACUUUUGGAAAUGUAUCUGUAUUUUUCCCUUCUGUUUUUAUUUUGUAUUUUUGUAUUUAUUUAUAUUUCCUAUUUCUUACUAGAUACAGAUCCUGCUGUAAUGCUGUUCCUUGUCUCAUCUAACAGCUCUCUACAUUUUUGGGGGGUGGGUAGGUUACGGUCUUCUUGAGAUCUUUGACAUUCUUGGCUCCUUCCUCUUCCUGACAAUUUCUAUAAUCUGUUCUGACAUCCAUUUUGGUGUCUUCUAUUCUACAUUUACCUUUUAUAACCUCUUUGAUUUCAUUCCAUAAUUUCUCUGUUUCUUUCUCAAUGAGAUCCAGGAUUUCAGAGCUGUUCUUGAUAUUCUUCUUGAAAAUGGUAGCUAGACAUUCAAGAUUAGUUGUGGAAUCUUAGAUGAACAUCCUUUUAAAGGACGUUGACUGCAAAUUCUAAUAUAGAUAAUAUUUGGUCCUCAGUUGCAUUGUGCACAAGUCCUGUCCUCCUGUAUCCUUCCUCAUUGAGGAAUAUAUACAAUUCUGUCUUUGCCGCUUUGGAUUUUCUUUUUCCUUUUACAGCAACCUCAACGAUUGAACCUCCUGAAGGGUUUAGUGUCAUAAGUAUCAUUAGUGCUCCAAAAGACACCUCGGAUGUUCCUUAGUGGCAUGCUAAGGAUUCAUUAUCUGACAGUGAAUUAUCUAUCCAUGUGGUUUCUUGAGAAAACACAGUUUACGGCUUAUAGUGUAGUAUGAACCGUUGCUGUCGUCAUUAAAGUGACCAUCUACCUCUAUACUAUCGUCUUCUAUCUCUGCUGCCUGAUGUAGGUGUCUGCUUGCUGUAGCUAGGUCGUUUACAUGGCCUUGAUGGUUAGGUGGCCCUGCUUGGCAUACUUGUUUUUGGUGUGUCUUCCUGGUGUCUUUUACCCAUCGGUUUCAGGAAUCCCCUUCCAUCAUCACAAUUAAGAUCGCAGAACGGGACUUUAGGAUGAGGGGGUGUAAUUGCAAGAGAAGAAAAUAGAAACUUUUCCUAUGGCCAGAGCUAAUAAAGAGAUUGGAAAGAAUUCCCUAUCUUGCCUGAAAGCGGUAAUCAGAGAAAAUAGCUUUAUUUUUGUAAGUGUUGAAAAGAUGACAGAAAUUGUGCUAUGACUCUGUCAGUCAUUUGACUUGUUCUUCCCUAUUUAGGUCCGAGUAUGUUUUAUUAUGCUAUGUGCAUAAAUGUUCCUCCAUACUAGAAUUUCCCCUGAUAUUUUAAUUGAUGCCCCUCUUUGCCCUUCCUAGCCAGGCUAUUAAUGAGACUUGUGGGAGUUAUUGCUCAGGAUAUCUGCAGGACUGUUGGAUGUUGCUUCCAAGGAUGUUGAAAGGAUGUUGCUUCCUCCUACUCUUAAUUUUUAGACACCAUCACUUAGUCCCAUUUUGCAAGAUUGUCAUAGAAAGAGACAACGAUUCCAACCAUUUGGCUGCCUAUCCGGUGGCCCAUUGUCCCCAUCCUUUUGGGGGGUUACUUCUUAUGUAAAUUUCCUUAUCCAUAAGUUAUUACACACCUUUUUUGCAGUUGGCUCCAAAGUACUUCACAACCCUACUCCAGUCUCCUAUUGCAAAAUUUAUGAAUGGCUGUGGGUUGGUUGUCUGGGUUUUAGGGAAGGAGAUGAAAUCCAGCUGGCUACAUAUGGGCAGAAACCCCCAGUAGAGACAUGCUGCUUAGGGCAGUGGUCUCCAACCUUGGCAACUUUAAGACUUGUGGACUUCAACUCCCCGAAUUCCUCAGCCAGCAAAGUCCACAAGUCUUAAAGUUGCCAAGGUUGGAGACCCCUGGCUUAAGGUAUUGCUGCUUAGGAUUUUAACAUCCGACUGAUUAUAAUUAGCUUGAAAUUCCUUGCUACUCUACUUCAGAACAUGGAUCCAAACCAAAGCUUGGAAGUUUUUCAUCUGUGAAAAUUCAGCUGAAUUCACCUGUUAUUCACCUGUGUCUAAUUUAGGCUCCACCAAAUCCAUAAGAGUCCCUUAUGGUGAGAUUGGCAGCUAUAUAAAUUUGAUAAUUUAUGUAUCUUGAGAAGAAAGGAAGAGGAAGCCACACAAAUCAUCAGCCUUUUCAAAUCUUAAAUCUGUGGUUCUGGAGAUCUAAAUGAUGGAUAUAAAAGUGAAGAUUUUGCAGACUUGAGAAUUGGAAUUCUAGCAAUACUCUGCAAUAAAAUUCUGGGAGAAGGCACAGCUGCUUUAAGCGAUGGCAGGCAGAUGCUUGUAUGAGUAUGCUGCACAUUGCAAAAUAUUUAAUGGCUGAAACUAAAUAGUGUAACUUGGAAGAGUAACCAACAUCUUUGAGUUAUUUCUGUGGUUCUCCAGGAGAGGUCAGCAGAACUCCAUUUGCAUACGUGUAACCCUCACUCCUGGUGAAGAUUGACUUUUCAAAAAAUCUGCAAUAGAAAUGGGAAAGUUGAUUCGGUGCGGAAGGCAUAAUUUCUUCAUCAGAAUCGUCACAGUCCUACGAAUGCUCCUGCAACACUUUGAAGACAAAUCGAGCAAUACUCUUGAUUGCUGAUUUGUGGCUGUUUGCUUCUGCUUUGAAAGUCUGAGCAGAAGUCUUCCCGUGCGAAGUUUCCCCUCACCAAGAUGACAACAGGAGCUUAGAAAAGAGCUUCUGUGGGAUUUUUCUUCGUGAGGAACUUCAGCUGUUCCUUUCCCCCAUUGCCCUCCAUAAAACCCAUUGUCGCUACUUGGUGAAACACCUUCUGAGUGAUCUUCUGAAUCUACAGAAAAAGGAUAUUGAAAUUAGUGCCCUCCAAAUGUUUUGAACUAGAGUUUUCUUAAAUACCUCACCAUUGACAAUUUACUGAACAUAGUUAUUGUAAUGAUAGUCUAGACCAGGGGUCUCCAACCUUGGUCCCUUUAAGACUUGUGGACUUCAACUCCCAGAGCUUUGCUGGCUGAGGGACUCUGGGAGUUGAAGUCCACAAGUCUUAAAGGGACCAAGGUUGGAGACCCCUGGUCUAGAAUGUUUAAAUGACACCAAGUGAUUUACUUACCAUAUAGCUGUGAAUGAAAUUCUUCUACCAUUGUCUUUUGAUAUCUUGAUUGAUAGAUAAAAUAUAUUAUGUGGCCAGUUGGGCCCCCCUCCCUCUCUUUUGGCUUUUGUAUUUGUGAAGUGCUUUCCAUAGGGCUGAAAAUAGAGUUACGGUACAUCCAGACAGCUUACAUCUAUCUUAAUUUUAAGAAAAUAACAUGGAAACAGGUAAAACUAUUUCAGGCAAGUUUUUUACAUCAGUUGUAAUUUCCAAGUUUCUAGAAAUUGUUUUAUGAUCAGCCUUUUAUUUCUGUUUUAUAUAUGUUUAUUGCUGAUGAUUGCUAGAAUAUCUGGCUAGCACAUAACAAUACUUAUACUUUCUUUGAAAGAUUGCUUUUAAAAAUACACUUUUACAGGUCCGGAUAUAGAAUCUUUGCUAAUAAUGCUGCAUUAAAAAGCUUUUGGGUUUUUGUUUUUGUUUUUUGAGCGAAUAUAACAAUCUAGGAUGCAGAGUAAGAAAAUAGUAAUGUGCCAUCAUUGUUACUUUUCAAAUUAGAUGCUAAUGUUCAAACAUAACUUAGAAAGUGGAAGCUCCUAUGAAAACCCCCUGUGCCCUAAUCACUUGAACUGAUUAGGAUGAGCUCUGAUUCUCUUUGAGAACCUCCAUGUGUAGCUUUUGAGCUUAAUGCAUAAGGCACCUUCCCAAAGCAGAAGUCAAUAUGCAAAAUUGCCAUUGGUUUUUUACACAAUGAGGAUUUACAGUUUUUGCUGUUUUCUCUAAUCAAUUCCUUUCCUGAUUUUCUUACCUGGACUCCCAUGCUUGAGGCAGGCUUGCUUUUUCUAUUUAUUUAGAAAAUAUAUAUGGUUGCCCACCUCUCUGGGCAACUAACAAUAUAACACAAAAAUACAUUUAAAAAUAAACGUAGAAAAUAGAAAAGCUGAGGCACCUCAUAUAUCAUUCUCAGUGCCAAGACUUGCCUAUAUCGGGCUCCACUAACAAUGCAGCCUUAACACUUGAAGGAAAAAAGCCAGACUGGAAAAUGUUUGUGCAAUCGAAAGUUGGGAGUCGAUCUAAACGAUUCCCUCUUACGCCAUGGCAUUUAAGUCUUGUUUCUACAUUUCUUCAAGCAGCCUUAUCCACAAUUCUUUAUCUCUCAUGCUAAAUUUCCCAGGGACCCAUUUGCUUUGGAAACGGCUCCAUUCCUUGUACACCAGAUACAGAAUACUAGAAACAUGUCUGAAACUUGCAAUUACAAGCUUAUUUGUCUGUGUUGCUUUUAUCCUGUGGUUAAUAUUUCUGCAGAACUUCAAGAUGUUUCCACUUUUGGGCUUGAGCUACCUCUUUAUGCAGUCCAUUCAUGAAGUUGAAAGCAAACAACCAAUUUGAUAUGCCUUACUUGAGUCAAGCUAAGAAACCUAUUGUUUUCUUCCACAGGAUGCAAAAGAUAUAUAACCUGCGAAAGCUUUUCCCAAUUGGAUACACUCCAGCUGUUUUGGGGUGGCAACAUGGCAGCAUGGGGUGGUAGCUUUGAGAAAGGCAGCUAGUUUAUGUCAAUGUUCUCAAUCUUGGCCAAUCAAAAAUGAGUGGACUUCAACUCCCAGAAAUCCCUAGUCAACAUGAUAUAUUUGUUACAGGAAAUGAGAGCGGACAUUAAAAAGGGAAUGUAUGCGUGUAUUAGCAUCAUCUCACAUAAAUUUGAACAUCAUCUCAAAAGCAAACUGCUUUUAGAGAAGAAGAAAGCUGUUUCAAUGGCUAUCAGAAUCCAUGGGGG